GGAGAAGAUGGGGAAGUUGGACCAAGAGGUCUCCCAGGUGAAGCUGGUCCACGGGGACUACUGGGUCCCAGAGGUACACCUGGUCCCCCUGGACAACCUGGCAUUGCAGGUAUUGAUGGACCUUCAGGCCCAAAGGGAAACAUGGUGAGUAAGUUGGAAAUUAAA